UGUACGGGUUGCAUUUCGAUCCUCCGGCGGCUUCUCCUUGUGAGGUGUCGGCGGAGCUUUCGGUGUAUCCCGUCUGGCGAUGGGACGACGCGUGAGUGGCGAUUAGGAUAUGUUUCCCAUGCAGGCUCCGUGUAUCUGGCAUCGAACUGCUUGGGUCUAUCUAUUUCAUCGGUGGGUUCGCCUCGACGUUUUCAUGGUCGGUCGCGCCUACUCGUUGGGUUCCUGUGCUUGAUAUCGAAUUCGGUAGUUGGAUGGAUUGCUGUUCCCCGUCAUGGUUGAUGGAUCCCCCCUCUGCCUCGUGCGGCGAUGGUGGAUACUGUGCGGGCAUCGACGUUUCCCUUUCGAGCCGUUGUCCCCCGUUUGGGAGCCCCUGCUCGCGAUGGCACGUAGAUGCUACCGGCACUCUCGGGUACGGAGAUUUCUUGGCUUAUCGCAUUGGCCUUCGACCCUUGCGAACUUAAUUGAAUCGAAGCUUCGUUGCUUCUGAAUGUAUGACCCUCGUGCUCGUCCGAGAGCUCACGGAGCCCCUUCGUUCGGUGUUCUUCUGGGGGGAGAUGUCGAGGUCUACAAAGGAAUGCUACCUGGUUGAU
rnacentral:misc_RNA from 1 species